UACGGGGGGGGCAAGCGUUGUUCGGAAUUACUGGGCGUAAAGGGCUCGUAGGCGGCCAACUAAGUCAGACGUGAAAUCCCUCGGCUUAACCGGGGAACUGCGUCUGAUACUGGAUGGCUUGAGUUCGGGAGAGGGAUGCGGAAUUCCAGGUGUAGCGGUGAAAUGCGUAGAUAUCUGGAGGAACACCGGUGGCGAAGGCGGCAUCCUGGACCGAUACUGACGCUGAGGAGCGAAAGCCAGGGGAGCAAAGCGGG
rnacentral:rRNA from 1 species